UACGUAGGGGGCUAGCGUUGUCUGGAAUCAUUGGGCGUAAAGCGCGUGUAGGCGGUUCGGUAAGUCCGCUGUGAAAGUCGGGGGCUCAACCCUCGAAUGCCGGUGGAUACUGUCGGACUAGAGUACGGAAGAGGCGAGUGGAAUUCCUGGUGUAGCGGUGAAAUGCGCAGAUAUCAGGAGGAACACCAAUUGCGAAGGCAGCUCGCUGGGACAUUACUGACGCUGAGACGCGAAAGCGUGGGGAGCAAACAGG
rnacentral:rRNA from 1 species